rnacentral:rRNA from 1 species
CACCGGCGGCUCGAGUGGUGGCAACUUUUAUUGGGUCUGAAGCGUCCGUAGCCGGCUUGGCAAGUCCCCUGGGAAAUCUGGCGGCUUAACCGUCAGGCGUCCAGAGGAUACUGCCAGGCUUGGGACCGGGAGAGGUGAGAGGUACCUCAGGGGUAGGGGUGAAAUCUUGUGAUCCCUGAGGGACCACCAGUGGCGAAGGCGUCUCACUAGAACGGGUCCGACGGUCAGGGACGAAAGCUGGGGGCACGAACCGG